AGAGUUUGAUCCUGGCUCAGGAUGAACGCUGGCGGCGUGCUUAACACAUGCAAGUCGAACGAAGCAUUUAGAACGGAUUACUUCGGUUUGAAGUUCUUUAUGACUGAGUGGCGGACGGGUGAGUAACGCGUGGGUAACCUGCCUUGUACUGGGGGAUAGCAGCUGGAAACGGCUGGUAAUACCGCAUAAGCGCACAAUGUUGCAUGACAUGGUGUGAAAAACUCCGGUGGUAUAAGAUGGACCCGCGUCUGAUUAGCUAGUUGGUGAGAUAACAGCCCACCAAGGCGACGAUCAGUAGCCGACCUGAGAGGGUGACCGGCCACAUUGGGACUGAGACACGGCCCAGACUCCUACGGGAGGCAGCAGUGGGGAAUAUUGCACAAUGGAGGAAACUCUGAUGCAGCGACGCCGCGUGAGUGAAGAAGUAUUUCGGUAUGUAAAGCUCUAUCAGCAGGGAAGAUAAUGACGGUACCUGACUAAGAAGCUCCGGCUAAAUACGUGCCAGCAGCCGCGGUAAUACGUAUGGAGCAAGCGUUAUCCGGAUUUACUGGGUGUAAAGGGAGUGUAGGUGGCCAUGCAAGUCAGAAGUGAAAAUCCGGGGCUCAACCCCGGAACUGCUUUUGAAACUGUAAGGCUGGAGUGCAGGAGGGGUGAGUGGAAUUCCUAGUGUAGCGGUGAAAUGCGUAGAUAUUAGGAGGAACACCAGUGGCGAAGGCGGCUUGCUGGACUGUAACUGACACUGAGGCUCGAAAGCGUGGGGAGCAAACAGGAUUAGAUACCCUGGUAGUCCACGC
rnacentral:rRNA from 1 species